rnacentral:rRNA from 1 species
CUCCGUGCCAGCAGCCGCGGUAAUACGGAGGAUCCGAGCGUUAUCCGGAUUUAUUGGGUUUAAAGGGUGCGUAGGCGGUUCGAUAAGUUGGAGGUGAAAUGUUAGGGCUUAACCCUGAAACUGCCUCCAAUACUGUUGGGCUAGAGAGUAGUUGCGGUAGGCGGAAUGUAUGGUGUAGCGGUGAAAUGCUUAGAGAUCAUACAGAACACCGAUUGCGAAGGCAGCUUACCAAACUAUAUCUGACGUUGAGGCACGAAAGCGUGGGGAGCA